GGUAAUUUAAAUUUAAUUCUCAAGGACAAUAGCCAAAAGGCUAAAACUUAAUGAUCAUGGCGGCUAGUUAUAUUCAGGGGAACUUACCUACUAAACGAUAAUCCACGAGUUUACUAUCUUUACUUUAAAGCUUGUAUACCGCCGUAAAGUAUUGAAUUGAGUUUAAUACUAAAUCUUAGAGAGAACCACAGGUUAAGGUGCAGCAUAUAGUAAAGGAAAUUGGCGAGUUACAUUUAAAAUUUUUUUUCGGAAAUAUGAUUUUAACUAAUAUUGAAGAUGGACUUGAUAGUAAAUUUUAAUUAAAAUAUAAAUUGAAUACUACAAAACUAGUGC
rnacentral:rRNA from 1 species